GGAAUAUAAGAACCCGUCUCUUAACUUUUAACUAAAAAAACUAAGAACCGGCUCUUAAAUAAGAGUUUUAAGAGCCGGUUCUUAACUUUUUUAGUUAAAAGUUAAGAGACGGGUUCUUAUAUUCC
rnacentral:pre_miRNA from 1 species